UGGAAACAGUCCAUGAAGAACAUUGCAGGUGCACCCGUUGUCACCGGAGACUACUCACGGCCACCAUCUACGUUAGCUGGUGGCAGGUGCGCGAUAGCUCUUUUAAACACUUGCGCUUGCUCGGCGACACCCGGUGGAAGGCGCGGCUGAAGCUCUGUGGUGCUGUCAGCUGGUGGUUUUUCUCCAAGUGGUGGCGGGAGCUAUGAAACCGAAUGGGUCUCAGUUUCUGCUCCUCGCAAUUCCGACGAUGGCAUCGUGCCCUUGUCCCCGGCGUUGCACGCUUGCUAUGCAUAGCGCUGCGUCUGGAGUGUUGAGGUCGUUGUCAGGCGCCUCGAACCGCUUCUUGUUCAUGGUAGAGAGCGGCUGCGACUUCGGGAGAUCGCGCAUACCUCAGCGAUCUCGUCGACGAUGGAGCUCUCGGUGCUGAUUUGGACUGUCGGCGUGAGCACAAUCAUUGCGCAAGCUUCGACAGUCCGGGCUGGCGGUGGGGUGCGAGCGGGUCGGUCAUCUGCUAUAAAGAGGGUGGCGGCGGCGGCUAUGGC
rnacentral:lncRNA from 1 species